rnacentral:tRNA from 2 species
UUUCCUAUGGUGUAAUGGUAUCACGUCAGAUUCUGGCUCUGAAGAUUGAGGUUCGAGCCCUUGUAGGAAAACCA